GCCCCGGUAAACGGCGGCCGUAACUAUAACGGUCCUAAGGUAGCGAAAUUCCUUGUCGGGUAAGUUCCGACCUGCACGAAUGGCGUAAUGAUGGCCAGGCUGUCUCCACCCGAGACUCAGUGAAAUUGAACUCGCUGUGAAGAUGCAGUGUACCCGCGGCAAGACGGAAAGACCCCGUGAACCUUUACUAUAGCUUGACACUGAACAUUGAGCCUUGAUGUGUAGGAUAGGUGGGAGGCUUUGAAGUGUGGACGCCAGUCUGCAUGGAGCCGACCUUGAAAUACCACCCUUUAAUGUUUGAUGUUCUAACGUUGGCCCGUAAUC
rnacentral:rRNA from 1 species